CACCGCCCGUCACACCAUGGGAGUCAGUUGCUCUAGAAGUCGGUGCGCCAACCUCGGAGGCAGCCGCCAAAAGAGUGACUGGUGACUGGGGUG
rnacentral:rRNA from 1 species